rnacentral:misc_RNA from 1 species
AGUACAGUACAGUCCUGGGCAAUCAAGCCUUCAACAUAUAUAUAAAAUUAAGAACAUGCAAUUUCAGAGUAGAUAGGGUGGAAGGGAUAGAUAGCAUCCCAAGCAUAGGUGAAAUUGAAGGUGUGAUGUCCAUGGAGUGGCUGCUCAUUGUUAAUAUGACAAGCAGUAUCAUCUGCUCUGGCCAGCAUUGAUGGGUCAAUUUCCUCUGUACUGUGAAACCCAUUGCAG